AAAGUCGUAACAAGGUUUCCGUAGGUGAACCUGCGGAAGGAUCAUUAUCGAUUUUCAAAGGAUGUGCUGGCAGCCCUCAAGGGUUGCAAUGUGCACUCCGAAAAAUCUCCUUCUCUUACCCCACUGUGCACAACCCAGUAGGCAAACAGAUUCACAGAGAAAUCUGUCUCAUAUCAUUUGCCUAUGUUUUUAUUUCAAACACCAUUAACAUCUUGGAAUGAUUAACGUAGUAAGCUUUAACAAGCUGAAAUCUAAUACAACUUUCAACAAUGGAUCUCUUGGUUCUC
rnacentral:misc_RNA from 1 species